AACGAACGCUGGCGGCAGGCCUAACACAUGCAAGUCGAACGCACCGCAAGGUGAGUGGCGCACGGGUGAGUAACACGUGGGAAUGUACCCUUUGGUUCGGAAUAACGUUUGGAAACGAACGCUAAUACCGGAUGAGCCCUGCGGGGGAAAGAUUUAUCGCCAAAGGAGCAGCCCGCGUCUGAUUAGCUAGUUGGUGGGGUAAAGGCCUACCAAGGCGACGAUCAGUAGCUGGUCUGAGAGGAUGAUCAGCCACACUGGGACUGAGACACGGCCCAGACUCCUACGGGAGGCAGCAGUGGGGAAUAUUGGACAAUGGGCGCAAGCCUGAUCCAGCCAUGCCGCGUGAGUGAUGAAGGCCUCGGUUGUAAAGCUCUUCGUCACGCGACG
rnacentral:rRNA from 1 species